rnacentral:lncRNA from 1 species
GGCCAUGGUGGCCAAAGACUGACCUUGGUGGCCAAAACCUGACCUUGGUGGCCAAAUUCCAACCUUGGUGGCCAAAACCUGACCUUGGUGGUCACCAAGCCCCACCAAGAUGUUUCUGGUGGUCCCCAAGCCCACCAGGGUGGUCUCCAAGCCCCACCAAGAUGUUCUCAAACCUCACCAAGAUGUUUUUGGUGGUCACCAAACCCCACCAUGAUGUUCCUGGUGGUCUCCAUGAUGUCCCCAAGCCCCCCAGGGUGGUUUUGGUGGUCUCCAUGGUGUCCCCAAAGCCCACCAUGAUGUUCUUGGUGGUCUCCAUGGUGUCCCCAAGCCCCCCGAGGUCAGUUGAGGGUGCCGCGGCAGCUCUCGGUGCGACACAGGCACGGGAUCUUGGUGUCCCCAAACCCCACCAUGAUGUCACCAAAGCCCACCAAGAUGUUCUUGGUGGUCACCAAGCCCCACCAAUGAUGUUCUUGGUGGUCCCCAAGCCCCCCAUGGUGAUUUUGGUGGUCACCAUGAUGUUCUCAAAGCCCACCAUGAUGUUCCUGGUGGUCUCCAUGAUGUCCCCAAGCCCCCCAAGAUGUUCCUGGUGGUCACCAAGCCCCCCAGGGUGGUUUUGGUGUCCCCAAGCCCCCCGAGGUCAGUUGAGGGUGCCGCGGCAGCUCUCGGUGCGACACAGGCACGGGAUCUUGGUGUCCCCAAAGCCCACCAUGAUGUUCCUGGUGGUCACCAAAGCCCACCAAUGAUGUUCUUGGUGGUCCCCAAGCCCCCCAAGAUGUUCCUGGUGGUCUCCAUGAUGUCCCCAAGCCCCCCAAGAUGUUCCUGGUGGUCUCCAUGGUGUCCUCAAAGCCCACCAUGAUGUUCCUGGUGGCCACCAUGAUGUUCCUGGUGGUCCCCAAGCCCCCCAGGGUGGUUUUGGUGGUCUCCAAAGCCCACCCGAGGUCAGUUGAG